GAGAACAUAGAGGAAAGCCUAACUUAGCUGUUCUCCACCUCUUGUGUUGAGGUGGAGAUAUUUCCCGAUGCCUCCCAUUCCUAUCGUCCUUAUGCGCUCCUUCCUCUUCCUUUUUGUUUGCUAAAUCGAUUUAGCAGAAAAACAGAACAUAUAUGUGCAUAUAUUCAGGUGAUGUGAGAUGUCCACUAUGAGACAGGAAGAGGAAAAAGGAGGGCCUAAGAGCGGUGGGCAUGGGACAUGAUGGAAAGCUAAAGACCUCAGUUCCUCGUCUAACACUGAAUUGGACUGGACUGGAACCAGUUUCCUUGUGGCACCCAUCGCCUACUGGCAAGGUCCUCACUGGAAGUAGUACACUGUAAAUCCUCCAGAACUGGUGCUAUCUGAUCAAGUGUCAUUGCUGGACCUCCUUCCUUUUGUCCUAGUUUCUCCAAAAUACCAUUUAUUGAUGAUGUCACUGAAAAAAGGUAACUCACUGUUAUAUUUGCUGGAAAUAAUUCACAGUGCUUUGCAAGGUUGGUCUUUUCCCAUUCUAGUGAUAUUAUAGGGUUUUAAGUAAGGUAUAGUGAUUUUUCUUGCACCGAUAUCGAUGGGACAACUAUUAAUCAAAACUGAAACCAUGUAACUUGAGUGAUAAAUUGUCAUAGUACACUGGUACCUCGCAAGUUGGUUACUUGGUAUCUUUGGAAGCAUUGUGCUGGUAACGAUUCUGCAAAAUAUUCUUAUGCAAUUAACCUAAUGAGGUAUACUAGAUUUGUUUUAUCCUCUUAUGCCUCUUUCUAUCCUCCUUGAAAUCCAAGAGUAGAAAACUAAAACAAAUGGCAGAAGGCGUGAUUUCAACAAGCAUAUGCCAUUAUAGGAAUAAACUAGCAUAUGGCAUUCCUUAAUCUGGCUCAUUCAAGACCAUGCCAAGCAUGCUCGUUCUCCUGCUUAUUACCUACUUUGCUGAUCAUCACCUUGUGGCACUUUAGAAAUUGUUCGUCCCACAAGUUGGCCGAAUGUUAGCCUCCCAUUCAGAAGCAAUCCGUCAAUAAGAGCUUCUGACUGCAAGAUACAUAAAUUCCAUGCAUAAGGUCAUAAACUGUGGAAAAGCUACAAGUACUAAAUGAUUGUAGUCAUAAUGUUCCUGGACAAGAUCACAUAUUUUGUAGCAAACACAGGAAGCACCAGAACUAUUAGAAUGUAAGUUCAGACAACGUAUGUUAUCUGUCAGUUUCUCAGCUAUCAGCCAAUCACAAACCAAUAAUUACCAGCAUAUUUGUCAAACACCUAAAAAAAGGAUCAAAUCAAGAACUUAGAAUGUUUUUAUUUUUGAAACAACCAACAAACUAAUCGUCAACCAAUCAGCAUUUGGCAUUGCCAUGGUAACUGGAGCCAUAUUUUACAACCACAUACUAUGUUUUCUACCAGUUAUCAUUUUUAAGCAAUGACUCAUUCUCCUGGAUAAUCCCUAAGCUGUUAGGCUGUUCUGCAUGGUAUAUCCACAUAUGUCAAUGAUUCCUGGACUUGCCGAGAGCUAGAAUCAGUCUCCUUGCCAACUGCAUAGUCAUCUCUUGUUAUUUCUCAUUCAGACCUUGUACAUGUACUCUAUAAAGAGCAAUUAAUUCAACAGAUAAGUGUGUUUAUCUCGAUGUCAUUCAUAGUAUCAGAGUAGUCUUUGGAUCAUGCUAAUCCAAUCUAAACCAUUCUUCCCUUGCCCCGUCAACCCACCUAUGUUACCAUGGGUGGAGAAUAGAGAAUAGCCACAACAUCAUCACAAGCUUCAAACCUAGAACCUAACGACUUCCAUAAACUGCAGUCUAAUGAAUUCAUUUAUCGAGUAAAAAUGCAAAUAGUUUAGAUAGUGAAUAUUACAAUUCAAAUUCAAAUGGCAAAAGUCUAGACCACAUCUGUAUCCAGUAAGUUAAAGAUAAACCCAUGCCCAUAUGCACCCCUUAGAGAGUACAUGUGCAUUAAAAAACCAAAAAUUGCAGUAUUAGCACAUGUUGAACAUGUUACAGUGCGUAUAGAAGAAAAAGGUUGUGCAAAAGUAUGUUUAUAUCAUCAUAUGUACACUGUACAAAAAUAGUUUACUCAUCCUGUGUGAUAUUUGUCAACUUCUUUUUGUGCAAUGCAGAUAUGAUCAUCUUUCUGCAAAAAAGUUCGCUUGUAUUCGGAUUAUAACAUGCUCUAAUGGAAUGGGGGAUUUUGAAGUGCACAAGUACUCAAUCCUCAGGGGUGCAUAUGAACCUAGGUUCAGAGUGCAUAUAUAAAUAAGUGAGAACAUACAGAAUGUUAAUUGUUCAGGAAAAUCUUAACCAUAUUUGUAUUUUGUCAAACAUAGUAGUCCAAUAAUAUAAUGUGGAUAAUAUGGACCCUUGACACUCCUAAUAAGUGCAAGGAUCAUUGGAAUAGUGUCAUACAUGGUGCCAUGAACCAGUCUAACAUGCUUAAAGAUUAACCCAGAGGAUGGAUAGAGGAUGUGAAUACAACAUUUGAAAAACUUGGAAUGCUCAAGCUGAAUAGUAGGAAUAUGAAACGGUUCAUCUUGCACUACAUAUAGAAGAAAAUGUUUGUCGACAAAAAGAUGAUAGGCCUUAUGAUCUUGAAGGAGCAAGAAGAAUAUUCAGACGUACAACACUAGAAUAAUUUGAUUAUGCUGAAUGGCAAACUCCAGAUAGAAAGGAUUAACUAGCUUCUACUCCCUCUGUCCGGAAUUAGUUGAUGCUUAAACGGAUGCAUCGAGCAUUGAUACGUCUAGAUACAUCCGUUUGAGCGUCAACUAAUUACGGAGGUAGUAUUUUCCAACAGUGAUUGCAGUAUAUCAUGAAAGAGUAAAAGACAACCUCAGGACACCGUUCUAAAAUUUGCAAGUACCUCACUCAUGUCAUCAACUCUAGAUCAGUAAUCAAGGUGAAGAUGCAUUGUUUUUUUUUUCAAGGAUACGUCUGACGUAUCGAGAAGAUGCAUUGUGAUUGUUUUAACACAUGCUAAUAAUCUUUAGCGUAAUACUGAUAUCUCAGUUACCCAAUGCCAUCACCUCUAGACCAUUAAUCAAGGUCGAUAUGCAUCUAGCAAUGAGAAUCACAAGGCACAAUUCAUAGGUGCACAAAAUCUACAGUACCAUCUGCUCCACACUGAUUUCGGCAUUCAGAGAAUUAUGGCUGCUGUUUAAUCAAUCCAGACUUUCAACAAGCAAGCGUGAACUAAAAUCAAGGUCACAUCAAAGUAAAUACCUCUGGAAUGUCCGCACGGAUAACAGAGAUGAACUUUGAGAAGCGCAACCGAUGCAGGACAUUAUCGAAUAUGGCCAAGUAGAGCGUCACCCUCCUAUAGCCUACAAUCACAGAAAAAUGGAGUCACAGAUGAAGUAAACAUGCGUUAAAUGAAAUUUACACAGAAAGAUAUCAUGUGUUGGUUCUCUUACUUCUGCAUCAUCGUAAUUGCUAUCAUGUGUUGGUUCUCUUGCUUCUGCAUCAUCCUAAUUACUAAACAUAACAUCCCUUUCAUAUGGGAACCGUCUAACUCGUUGAAAUCUGAACUAAUUCAUAUGAAAAAACAGGAUCAUAUGACAAACUUGUUCAUCUACCUUGAUUUGCAUGAUCUUGUUUUGCUUUGGAUGUCCAUGAAGAAACCAAAAUCUAAAUGAAAUCUAAGUUGUUCCUAAUAAGAAUUUUUGAUCGGGAUGACUCGUGGUACAGGAGGACAACACUUUCAAGGUCUAUGAGGAUAUAAUGCUUUAUUUCGGAUCCGUUGCAACAUACGGGCACUUUACUAGUAUAUGGAAAAGGACCGGUUAGUCGUAGAAACAUAAACAAGCACACUAGAAACAUAAACAAGCACACUUUCAGACUUAUUUAGAUGAGACACAAAACUUUAAUACAUAGAAUGAUACCAGUUCCCUUAUGUUGAACUCAUGUUGUAGACAAAAUCAGAUCAAUGACACACCACUACUGACCACUGUAAUUAAGAGUCAUAGUAUAAAUUAGAGUGAGAAAUAUGUUAAUUAGCUCACAAAACAUGUAACAAUACAUGCAUUGCAGAUUUUCUUAGCAUCAAUUAGCAUCCACUGUGUAAAAUGAUCUGAAUUGGAUAAACUGUUCCUAGAGACUUCACACAUGCACAUAGCAAACUAAUGAAAAUAUACGGAGGCUAGCAAGAAACAAUCACUUUGAAAACUCUAAACUCCAAUGAAAUUUGUACAUGAUCAUAAAAAGAUGUUUCUUGUAUAUUGUUUAGACGUGCAGAAUAAGGCUUGUUUUGUCCACUCUAGAACCUUCUUGGGUGUUUGUGUUGCAGCCGGGGUGAUUUGAUUCUUCUAGUGAUGGUGGCCGAGCUACAAGGUUUUGUAAUUACGACGUACUUCGAUGGCUGGAAGAAGUAUUGAAAUCUCUUCAAUUCGUUCUUUGUGUUUGAACCUUGUCCCAAAAAUACUAGGUGAUUCAUCGUGUUGUUUAGGCGAUUCAUACUGAACCGAUGUGUAUAGUGAGUUUAGACUGAAAUAUAUGAUCAUUUUACCUUCAUGUAUUUAACUCGUAGGGGUUGUGGCCGAUGGUUUCCUUGGUCUCCUUGCAUGUAUGUAGUUUUGUACAACCUUCAGAAUUUGGAUACUAAAGUACUUAUAGAAUGAUAGCCCUAGCCCUAUACACAUUUUUUUCUAUUGAUAAAAUGGCCUAUAUACAUUUGGUUUUGCUGAUAAGAGAUCUCUAGGAUCAUGGGAUAAUCACAUUUGUCAUUUUUAAUAGUGCAGCUCACCUCAUAAGUACCUAGAGUAUCAAUUUAUUGUCACUUCAUGGUUCUUUCCCCAUUGUUCUGUAAUGUUUCCAAGUUUACAUAGAGUGUUUAAUUUGUCCAAGUUCAUGCUAUUUUUAUCUCAUAUCUUAUUGCUACACAUUUUCAUACUUCAUAAAUGCACAGGAUGAUACAAAUAUUAUGUACCUGUUUUGGAUAUGGGUAAUAAAGAUAAGAAGAUAUCUUUCCACACAUGCCCUAAAUUAAGAGUAGAGGACAAUAGGACAGGGCCAGUGAUUAUGUGGCCCCAUUAUCAUUGACUUUAGAAUGGUGCCCCCAUGCACCAGAUGUCUCCAUUUCUUUCUCCUCAAAGGUUCUGCAUAUGAUGCACCACCCAAUAUUUAUACCUCAACGCUGAAACACUUCGUCCAGCGUUUUGUUAGAUUUGUAGGCACUGAAAGUAAGCCGGGAAGAGGAAGAAAGAGAGCUCAAGAGCACUAGGAAUGGGAACAUGGAGGAAAGCCCUGCUUGUUUGUUUGCACCUCUAGUCUCAGGGAUGCAAAUAUUUGGCAUGCAUGGAUCCUUUCCUGAUGCCUCCCAUUCCUACCGUUCUUGUGCACUCCAUCCCCUUCCUUUAGGAUUGCAUCAGUAGAUUUGUUGGAGAAACAAUCGACAUGUGUCCACAUAUUUAGAUAACUUGAGAGCUUGAAGGUGAGCCGGGAAGUGGAAGAAAGAGGGCAUAAGAGCAGUGGGAGUGGGAACAUGGAGGAAAGCCUAACUUGCUUUGUUUCAUCUUUAGUGUUGGAGGUGGGAACUUGCUUGGUGUUUCCCAAUGGCUCUCAUUCCUAUUGUUCUCAAGCACUCCUCCCUCUUCCUUUUUUGGCUUGCUUGGUUGCUUUAGCUUAAAUAGAAACCAAAUAUAUGUGUGCACAUGUUUAAUGUGGGAUCUCAAGAGCGAGCUAGGAAGAGGAAGAAAGAGAGGGUGUAAGAGCAGUGGGAGUGAGAACAUAGAGCAAAGCCUAACUUACUGAUUCUUCAUCUCUUGUCUUGAGGUGGGAAUGUAGUUUGGCAUUUCCCGAUGCCUCUCAUUCCUAUCGUUCUUAGGCGCUCCCUCCUCUUCCUUUUUGGUUGCUAAAUCACUUUAGGAAAAAAAGCACAUAUGUGCAUAUAUUUAGAUGAUAUGAGAAGAGGUCCUAAGUGUAGUGGGCAUGGGAACAUGAUGGAAGGCUAAGUCUCUCUGAAAGAGACUUUGGUUGAGUUUUCCCGAUGCUUCCCAUGACUAUUGUUCUUUGGUGCUCCUUCCUCUUCCUUUUUGGUCGCACACAUGAAAAAUAUUCAUAGUUUAAAAUGAUUUGGUUCAAAUUCAUUCACCCUACAUAGUUGGAUUUGCAAAUUUCUGUGUUAAAUGGCGCACAUGUUCAUCUCUAGAUUAUUCCACACAAGAGUCCUUAUCAUGUCAAGAUUAUUAUUCAGGUAUUAUAUAUAUGAAGUAUACAUCUCUAUAUCUGAUAAAGGGCAUUCGUAGAAACAUAAACACAUUUUUAGACUUGACAAGAUGAAACACACAACUUUAACACAUAGAAUGGUACAAAUUCUUCAUUGGUUCCUCAUGUUGUACUCAUGCUGGAGACAAAAUCACAUCAAUGGCACACCACUGCUGACCACUGUAGCUAAGAGUACAACAGAAAUCGGAGUGCGAAAGAUGGUAAUUGGCACACACAAAAUGUAACAAUAUGUGCAUUACAGCUUAUUUUUAUCAUCAAUUCCUAAAGAGUUCACACAUGGGAUAGCAAACUAAUGGAUAUAUACAUAGGCUAGCAAGAACAACCAUGACCGUAACAAGAUAUAUCUGCAGCUUCAAAAAUUGUAAACUCCAAUGGAAUUUGUUCACUUGAUCAUAAAAUGGUGUGGGAUUUUAAAUAUUGUUUAGAUGUGUGGGAUAAGGCUUAUUCCCCACUCUUGAACUUCGCUGGUUGUUUGCAUCUCAACUCGGGUGCUUUAAUCCUUGAAGGGAUGGUGGCCGAGCUACGAGGUUGAAUCGGGAAGUACUUCAAUGGGUGGAAGAGUACCCUACUCUCUUGGGAAUCUUGUUUUUCCUUUGUAUCUGAACCUUGUUCUUAAAAUACUAUGUGUAUAGUUUAGACUUUAGACUGAAUAUCUGAUCGCUAUACCUUCAUGUGUUUUCCUCCUAAGGAUAGAGGGUGAUGGUUUCUUUCGAGACAUGUUUUUUCCUAUAUUUUAAUUAGUUAAAUAAUAGGACUAUACACAUUUUUUCUUGAUAAAGUGACCUAUAAUUUUUUUUGGUUUUGCUGAUAUGAGUGUUUUCUAAUCAUGUUUUAGUCACAUUCUGCCAUGUGUAAUAAUGCAGCUCAUGUCCGAAGUACCUUAUGUUCCAAUUAAUUACCACUUCGAUGGCUCUUUGUCAUUGUUUUGUAAUUUUCCAAGUUCACUUAUUUACUUAAGAGGGUUUAUUUUUUUCUAAGUUCA